rnacentral:piRNA from 1 species
UAAUAAAGAGUUCAUGGGAAUGGAUUAAA